rnacentral:tmRNA from 1 species
GGGGAUGUUCUGGUUUUGACAGCACUGAUCUUGGAAGGUAAGCACGUCGGGCGCCGCUGGCCAGCCCGUUAAUCACGGUCUCCACGCCAUUAACUGGCAACUACAACUAUUCAUACGCUUGCUAAGUUGCGCUAAGCGCACUGCAUUAAUCGGUUCCGCCAAGGUUGCGGACUGACGUAUAUCCCUCCGGCUUCAGGCCCGUCCAGCCAGGAUCAAGGGGUAUCAUCAAGACGGGAUGCGGAGAGCGGACGCCUCUAUGCUCUCUCAAGACUCGGAGGAUAAGCCUCAACUUGCCCGUCUUCCGGCUGGCGGGGGCCGACAACCAAAGGAAGAAUAAACGUGUAGAAAGCUUUUUGGGACUUUGUUUGGACCCGGGUUCGACUCCCGGCAUCUCCACUA